AUGAGCCCUCACCUACGACACACCUACCCCCUCAACUGUUCUUCCCAUAACAACAUCAAUAUUAUCCAAAUUGGACGAGAUGGGCGAAUUAUAAAUGAAAGGCUCAUACUUGGGCGAACAACUCCCUUAGGCAUGCCACUCCCGGUUUCCUUGAGGGAGUUGCGCGACAACAAAAAGGAAGUCCACGGCAUGCAGCCGUCCAAGACGAAGGAAACAUUCAACUUCUUCAAAAGAUCAAAGUUCCUCGAAUGCGCAAGUACGGCCAUCUUACAUGCGAAAUUCCGCUGCCUCAAGAACUUAGAGAUUGAUUUUGACCAUGAAGGACAGGGGGGCUUUUCUCCAGGCUAUGAUUAUUUUUCUCUAGUUAAUAUUCUGGACGCUUGUCCUCUCCUGGAGACUUUUGUCUUAUAUGUAUCACAGAGGAACGUAGAGCAUGAAUUGAUACCUGAAGACUCGCUGUUGAGACGACAUCACCAUGGCAAAAUCAAGGAUGUGACCAUCAUAGGCUUCUGUGCUGCAAAGAGCAUGGUCGAACUAACCUGCCAUAUUCUUGAGAAUGCAGCAUUACUUGAGUGUCUCACUUUGGACGCGGUAUGUGAUAAUGGUGUUGAGGAGGAUGAUCGGUCUUGUGUCAACAAAAGUUACAAGUGCAGCCCUCAGAUUGGCAAGCGGAUGAUUGCUCAAGCACACAAAGGCCUCUGGGCCAUUGGAAGAUAUGUUGCGGACAAAGUUCCCUCCACCGUCAAGUUAAAUGUCAAAAAGCUUUGCAAACGUUGCCAUGCAAUGGAAUGA
rnacentral:rRNA from 1 species